rnacentral:rRNA from 1 species
UACGUAGGGUGCAAGCGUUAAUCGGAAUUACUGGGCGUAAAGCGUGCGCAGGCGGUUUUGUAAGUUUGUCGUGAAAGCCCCGGGCUCAACCUGGGAAUGGCGAUGAAGACUGCAAGGCUUGAAUCUGGCAGAGGGGGGUAGAAUUCCACGUGUAGCAGUGAAAUGCGUAGAGAUGUGGAGGAACACCGAUGGCGAAGGCAGCCCCCUGGGUCAAGAUUGACGCUCAUGCACGAAAGCGUGGGGAGCAAACGGG